CACAUCCAUCUUCUAUCCGUAUACAUACUGGGAACUAUGUUCUCAGAAGGCGAAGCACUGAUACUUGGGCGGAGGGAUUAUUACAACUCUGAGCAAACUCCAGGCAAACUCUCUGCUCCUCAACA